GCUGGAGCUGCGGGGUUACCAUGGGAACCGAACCGCCGCGCCUCGCCCAGGACAGUUACACUUAGAGGCCUUGGAGGAAAAGAGAUUGCCCUAGGGUUAUUCGGAAACAAUCCUGUUUGAAAAGGUGCAUCACUGAUGAGACAUGUCCAGGUGUAAAGAAAUGCUGCACGCUUGGCUGCAACAAGAGCUGUGUAGUCCCAAUCUCUAAACAGAAGCUGGGGCGGGGCGGUGAUUGUCCAAAAGUUCUGGUGGGCCUGUGCAUUGUUGGCUGUGUGAUGGAUGAGAAUUGUCAAGCUGGAGAAAAAUGUUGCAAGUCAGGCUGUGGCCGCUUCUGUGUCCCACCAGUACUGCCCCCAAAACUGACCAUGAACCCCAACUGGACUGUGAGGUCUGAUUCCGAAUUAGAGAUCCCGGUGCCCUAGCUGUGCUGAUUUGUCUGGAGCUUCUUUGGUAAUUCUGGAAGCUUUUCCUGGCAGUCAAGAGAGGGUGACAUCCUGGGGCUUGUGACAUUUCCAGGGGCACUCAUGGCCCUCUCUGCGCUGCUU
rnacentral:sRNA from 1 species